CAUUCAUUCCAUUUUUAGUUAUUAAUUAGAAUAUUCGUGUGAAUAAAAUUGAAAUGAAGUCGGGUCGAGAUUCAACCAAAUCCAAAUCGACAAAUAACCAAAAAUUGUCACCUUUCGUACGAUUCAUUCUGUACGGUUUGCUUGGUAUUACGUUCGAGGUGUAUUUUUAUGCAAUGCUGGAUACUUUGCUUAAAGGGGAACUGGAUCUUGUCGGUCGUACAAAUGUCUUGAUACUGCCCAUUUAUGGACUUGGUUUUCUACUGAUGGAACGCAUUGCACCGUACUUGCAACACAAAAAUGUUUCGGUUUACAUGCGUGGUCUAAUAUACACUGUGAUGGGUUACACAUUCGAAUUUACGACCGGAUAUUUCCUGUUGAUGAUUGGUCAGGACUAUUGGGAUUACUCUGAUUUCGCAUACAACUUGAAAGGACUUAUAAUGCCACACACAGGACUACUGUGGACUUUGCUCGGAUUAAUUGCGGAAUCUUUUAUUAUCGAUUGGGUUAAACGAUUGACAUUGUCAUCAAAAUGAAAAUUCUAAUGUCCCGAAUCGAAUAACUGAAAAUAUUACUAAUUUGAGGAAGGGUAAA